GACGAACGCUGGCGGCGUGCUUAACACAUGCAAGUCGAACGGAAAGGCCCUGCUUUUGUGGGAUGCUUGAGUGGCAAAAGGGUGAGUAACCCGUGAGUAACCUGCCCUUGAUUUUGGGAUAACUUCAGGAAACUGGGGCUAUUACCGAUUAGGAGCUCCUGCUGAUGGGUGGGGGUGGGAAUGCUUCGGCGGUGGGGGUUGGUCUCGAGGCUUAUCAGCUGGUUGGUGGGGUAGUGGCUUAGCAAGCCUUUGACGGGUAGCCGACUUGUGUAGGUAAUCGGCCACAUUGAGACUGUGGUACGGACCAGACCCCUACGGGAGGCAACGGUAGGGAAUGUUACACAAGUGGCGGGAUCCUGAUGCAGCAACGCCGCGUGCGGGAUGACGGCCAUCGGGUUUUAAACCGCUUUCGCCUGUGACGAAGCGUGAGUGACGGUAAUGGGUAAAGAAGCACCGGCUAACUACGUG
rnacentral:rRNA from 1 species